AUCUUCACCCGCUCACCUGUCAUCGUAGAAGAGUACAAACAAUGGCUGACAGUAGUGUAUUAACAUCCACUAUUGAAAGGACAAGCUUGGCAGACUCCUCUAUUUUUGAUUCUAAAGUUACUGAAAUUUCCAAGGAAAAUGUACUUACUGGAUCUGCUUCAUAUGUUGAAGAAGAAAUGCCUCAAAUUGAAACGAGAAUGAUAUUGGUUCAAGAAGCUGGAAAACAAGAAGAACUUAUACAAGCUUUAAAGACUGUUAAAAUAAUGGAAGUCCCUGUUAUAAAGAUAAGAGAAAGUUGUCCUGGAAAAUCGGAUGAAAAAUUAAUAAAAAGUGUUGUUAAUAUGGAAAUUAAAGUACCCUUUGUAAAGAUGGAAUCAGUGGAAGAACUUGAAAGUUUGGAUUCUCCAGAAUUUGAAAAUGUAUUCAUAGUCUUGGAUUUCCAGGAUUCUGUUUUUAAUGAGUUAUACAAGACUGAUCAUAGAAUUAUUGGGCCACCAGUUAUCUUAAACUGUGCCCAAAAAGGAGAGCCUUUGCCAUUCUCAUGUCGUCCACUCUACUGUACAAGCAUGAUGAACCUAGUCCUGUGCUUUACUGGAUUUAGGAAGAAAGAAGAACUAGUCAGAUUGGUGACAUUGGUUCAUCACAUGGGUGGAGUUAUUCGAAAAGACUUUAAUUCAAAAGUUACACAUUUGGUGGCAAAUUGUACACAAGGAGAAAAAUUCAGGAUUGCUGUGAGUCUGGGCACUCCAAUUAUGAAGCCAGAAUGGAUUUAUAAAGCUUGGGAAAGGCGGAAUGAACAGGAUUUCUGUGCAUCAGUUGAUGACUUCAGAAAUGAAUUUAAAGUUCCUCCAUUUCAAGAUUGCAUUUUAAGUUUCCUGGGAUUUUCAGAUGAAGAAAAAACCAAUAUGGAAGAAAUGACUGAGAUGCAAGGAGGUAACUGUUUACCUGUUGGAGAUGAAAGAUGCACUCACCUUAUAGUUGAAGAGAAUAUAGUAAAAGAACUUCCAUUUGAACCUUCGAAGAAACUUUAUGUUGUCAAGCAGGAGUGGUUCUGGGGAAGCAUUCAAAUGGAUGCCCGAGCCGGAGAAACUAUGUAUUUAUAUGAAAAGGCUAAUACUCCUGAGCUCAAGAAAUCAGUGUCACUGCUUUCUCUAAAUACCCCAAACAGCAAUCGCAAAAGACGUCGUUUAAAAGAGACACUUGCUCAGCUUUCGAGAGAGACAGACAUGUCACCUUUUCCUCCCCGUAAGCGCCCGUCAGCUGAACAUUCGCUUUCUAUAGGGUCACUCCUAGAUAUCUCCAACACACCAGAGUCUAGCAUUAACUAUGGAGAAACACCAAAAUCUUGUACUAAGUCUUCUAAAAAUUCCACUCCGGUUCCUUCAAAGCAGUCAGCCAGGUGGCAAGUUGCAAAAGAGCUUUAUCAGACUGAAAGUAAUUAUGUAAAUAUAUUGGCCACAAUUAUUCAGUUAUUUCAAGUACCAUUGGAAGAGGAAGGACAACGUGGUGGGCCUAUCCUUGCACCAGAAGAGAUUAAGACUAUUUUUGGUAGUAUCCCUGAUAUCUUUGAUGUGCACACUAAGAUAAAGGAUGAUCUGGAAGACCUUAUUGUUAAUUGGGAUGAGAGCAAAAGCAUUGGUGACAUCUUUCUUAAAUAUUCAAAAGAUUUGGUAAAAACCUAUCCUCCCUUUGUAAACUUCUUUGAAAUGAGCAAGGAAACAAUUAUUAAAUGUGAAAAACAGAAACCAAGAUUUCAUGCUUUUCUCAAGAUAAACCAAGCUAAACCAGAAUGUGGACGGCAAAGCCUUGUUGAACUUCUCAUUCGACCAGUACAGAGGUUACCCAGUGUUGCAUUACUUUUAAAUGAUCUUAAGAAGCAUACAGCCGAAGAAAAUCCUGACAAAAGCACUCUAGAAAAAGCUAUUGGAUCACUAAAGGAAGUAAUGACCCAUAUUAAUGAGGAUAAGAGAAAAACAGAAGCUCAAAAGCAAAUAUUUGAUGUUGUUUAUGAAGUAGAUGGAUGCCCAGCGAAUCUUUUGUCUUCUCACCGAAGCUUAGUCCAACGAGUUGAAACAAUUUCUCUAGGUGAACACCCCUGUGACAGAGGAGAGCAAGUAACUCUCUUUCUCUUCAAUGACUGCCUGGAGAUAGCAAGAAAACGGCAUAAGGUUAUUGGCACUUUUAGGAGUCCUCAUGGCCAUACCCGACCCCCAGCUUCUCUUAAGCAUAUUCAUCUCAUGCCUCUUUCUCAAAUUAAGAAAGUGCUGGACAUCAGAGAAACAGAAGAUUGCCAUAAUGCUUUUGCCUUGCUUGUGAGGCCACCAACAGAGCGGGCAAAUGUGCUGCUCAGUUUCCAGAUGACAUCAGAGGAACUUCCAAAAGAGAACUGGCUAAAGAUGCUAUGUCGACAUGUAGCCAAUACCAUUUGUAAAGCAGAUGCGGAGAAUCUUAUUUACAGUGCUGAUCCAGAAUCCUUUGAAGUAAAUACUAAAGAUAUGGACAGUACGUUGAGUAGGGCAUCUAGAGCAAUAAAAAAGACUUCAAAAAAGGUUACAAGAGCGUUCUCUUUCUCCAAAACUCCAAAAAGAGCUCUGCGAAGAGCCCUCAUGACAUCCCAAAGCUCAGUGGAGGGAAGAAGUCCUUCCAGCAAUGACAAGCAUGUAAUGAGUCGUCUGUCUAGCACAUCAUCAUUAGCAGGUAUCCCAUCACCCUCCCUUGUCAGCCUGCCUUCCUUCUUUGAAAGGAGAAGUCAUACUUUAAGUCGAUCUACAACUCAUUUGAUAUGAAGCUUAAAAAAUCUUAAUUUAGAGCAACUUAUAAACACUUCAUACCUAAAAACUGACUUAAAUGGUACUUGUCAUUAGCACUUGGGGAAAGCUGGAAAGAACAAAUGGAGCUGUGAUUCCCUCCAAAAGUAUGGUGUUUCCAGUGAGAGAAAAUAACCUGAGAUAAGGCAUGAAGUUGGAAACAUAUUGGAUGAACACUGGCAAAAUAUUAGCAGUUUUUUUAGGUUAGGAUUCCAGCAGUUCCAGGCAGCAUGUGCAUGAAUGUCAAGCAAUUCUGACACCACAAAGCCUCAGAAAUGGCCUGGGGCAGAAGUGAGGUAGGUAGCACAUACUCCAGGAAUGGCUUUAGUAAGACAGAGGGGUUUUGAGGUAGAUUAGGAAGUGUCUGAUUUCCCUUCUCACUGAUAUUUUUCUUCUCCUUCUGUGGUCCAUCCUUUAGAGCCAGAGUAACCUUCCCAGGCCUGUUUAAAACGUUGUGAUGUCUCUGCUAGAGACUUCCAGAAAAAUGUAGGCUUCUUAGCAUAUUACAAUGGUCCUCCCUUUAUGAUCUGCCCCCAUUCUACCUCCUUAGGGCCCUCACUCACCACUUCCUCUAGGAAACCUUCCCAGAACAUUCCUCACUCUGAUUCUGGCUCCUUAUCUACACUGUACCCUCUUCCUCGAAUGCCCAUCCUCUCCUUUUUUGCUGAAAUAUCCUCUCCUUUAAGAAGCCUUCCUUGUCACUAGGUUAGUUCCCCUUCUGCAUGUUCUAGCAGCAUUCUGUGUUUGUUUGCCUUCAUCACAGUACUUAUAUUUUGUUACUUUUCGGGGGUCGAAUUUAUCUGUUAAACUAGAUUGUCAAUUCCUAGCACAGAACCUGACAGGUAACAGAUGCUCACUAACUUGAAAUUGUUCCAGUAUAUCGGGGAAAGUGCACCAGCUAUAUCACUGAUGUGAAGAAUAACCACAUUCAGUGUAUGUCUAAAUACCUUUGGGGUUUUAGUUCCUCUCAGCAGGUAUAAAUUGAACAUGUUCCUGUUAGAUGUGCCAUAGGAAGAUGCAGAUUGUAAACAUCGUAUGGAAGAGUGUUAGGUAAAGCGAAGAGAAAGGGAGCAGCUCUGACAUGCUGCAGUGGUCCAGAGAGCAGUCUUGUUGUUCCUGAUGGAAACUGCUUGGCUGAUCGCCUGCCUGGAAGAAGUGCGAAAGCUGAUAACCUCUGUAGCAAUCCAUCGGAGGGAGUGUUUCAGCCAUCCACAUACACUGCCUCCACAUGCUGAAGCUAGAAGAGCAGCCACAGGAGCCUGGAUGAAAUCGGGCUGCAGGCCAGGAUCAUUUUUGUAGAGUUUGAAAAUGUGACAUAAGGCACUAAUAUCGUACCUCCCCAGGAUUUGAGCCUCGCUGCCAAGAGGAGUGGCGUUGCUGGAAAUAACCCUGGGAAAGUGUGGCAGAGACCUGGGAAAAUAUUGUAGGCUGCGAGAUUAUUUUUCACUUCCAAAUAAAUCUGCCAGGCUGAAUUCAUUUGCAAAAGAAUAGAUUAAGCUUGAUUUGUUUGGCUUUUGUGGUUUCAACUUCCCUAGAAUUAAUUCAUGCCAAAUUCAUUAUAACUUUAUUUUUUUUUAAGCAAAGAACUGUAUAAUUUUCUACUUGAUUAAAAAAUAAUAAAUGCUUAUACUAUU